AGUCGAGGGGUAUAAGUCUUCGGAUUUAGAGACCGGCGCACGGGUGCGUAACGCGUAUGCAAUCUACCUUUCACAGAGGGAUAGCCCAGAGAAAUUUGGAUUAAUACCUUAUAGUAUUACGACUUCGCAUGGAGAUGUAAUUAAAGAUUUAUCGGUGAAAGAUGAGCAUGCGUCCCAUUAGUUAGUUGGUAAGGUAACGGCUUACCAAGACUACGAUGGGUAGGGGUCCUGAGAGGGAGAUCCCCCACACUGGUACUGAGACACGGACCAGACUCCUACGGGAGGCAGCAGUGAGGAAUAUUGGACAAUGGGCGCAAGCCUGAUCCAGCCAUGCCGCGUGCAGGAUGACGGUCCUAUGGAUUGUAAACUGCUUUUAUACAGGAAGAAACACCUCUACGUGUAGAGACUUGACGGUACUGUAAGAAUAAGGAUCGGCUAACUCCGUGCCAGCAGCCGCGGUAAUACGGAGGAUCCAAGCGUUAUCCGGAAUCAUUGGGUUUAAAGGGUCCGUAGGCGGAUUUGUAAGUCAGUGGUGAAAUCUCCCCGCUCAACGGGGAAACGGCCAUUGAUACUGCAAGUCUUGAAUUAUUAGGAAGUAACUAGAAUAUGUAGUGUAGCGGUGAAAUGCUUAGAGAUUACAUGGAAUACCAAUUGCGAAGGCAGGUUACUACUAAUGGAUUGACGCUGAUGGACGAAAGCGUGGGUAGCGAACAGGAUUAGAUACCCUGGUAGA
rnacentral:rRNA from 1 species